rnacentral:rRNA from 1 species
AUUGAACGCUGGCGGCAGGCCUAACACAUGCAAGUCGAGCGAGCGGCGGACGGGUGAGUAAUGUCUGGGAACCUGCCUGAUGGAGGGGGAUAACUACUGGAAACGGUAGCUAAUACCGCAUACCAUCAGAUGUGCCCAGGUGGGAUUGGCUGGUCGGUGGGGUAACGGCUCACCUAGGCGACGAUCCCUAGCUGGUCUGCGAGGAUGACCAGCCACACUGGAACGUAGACACGGCCCAGACUCCUACGGGAGGCAGCAGUGGGGAAUAUUGCACAAUGGGCGCAAGCCUGAUGCAGCCAUGCCGCGUGUGUGAAGAAGGCUUUCGGGUUGUAAAGCACUUUCAGCGGGGAGGCGUUACCCGAAGAAGAAGCACCGGCUAACUCCGUGCCAGCAGCCGCGGUAAUUC